CCCAGCUGCAGACAACUGUCUAGGCUGAUUCUACCCAGGCAAAUGUUACACUGCUGGGAGAAAAGCAGCUAAUAGCUGGUGGGCAUUCUGAGCCUGGUUAAUGCCAAGUUUGCACUAUACCAGUGUGCCAACAUA
rnacentral:snoRNA from 1 species